rnacentral:rRNA from 1 species
UGGGGGAAAAUUAAUAUAAUAAAAUAAAUAAUAAAAAUAAUUAUAAAAAAUAAUUAAUGGGGGUUAAAGUAUUUUUUAGAAAAAAUUUAUUAAUUUAUAGUUUAAUAGUAUUGUGAAAGAAUUUUGAAAUAAAAUUAAAUAUCGAUUAUUAUUUAAGUAAAUUUAAUUUAUUGUAUCUUGUGUAUCAGAGUUUAUUAAUAAAAUAUUUUUAAAUAAAAAUAUCUCGAAUUUAAAAGAGAUAGUUAAUUAUUAAAGUUAAUGUGACAUAAUUAUUUUAAAUAAUUAAUUUGAAAUGAAAUGUUAAUCGUUUUUAAAAAUAUCUAGUUUUUUUAGAAAAAAAUUUAAUUUUAAAUUAAUUUAAUAAUUUUUUAAAUUUGUUAUAUAAAAUUAUAUAUUUAAUUAAAUAUUUUAAGGGACAAGCUUUAAAUUAAAUUUUUAUAAUAUUAAUAAACUAUUUAAAUAUUUUAAAAUUUAUAUUUUUUAUAAAUUAUAAUUUUUUAUAAAUAAUUUUAUUUAUUUUAAAAUUUAAAUUUAUAUUUAAAUUUAUAUAGAAAAAUAAUUUUUAAUAACAAAAAAUUAGUUAUAAUGAUAAAAUUAGUAUAUAAAAAAAAAAUAAAAUAAAAUUAAUUAAAAUUAAUAAAAAGGAAUUCGGCAAAAAU